rnacentral:rRNA from 1 species
CAAUAGCGUAUAUUAAAGUUGUUGCGGUUAAAAAGCUCGUAGUUGGAUUUCUGCUGAGAACGACCGGUCCGCCCUUUGGGUGUGUAUCUGGCUCUUUCUUGGCAUCUUCUUGGUGAACGUUGCUGCACUUGACUGUGUGGAGCGCUACCCAGGACUUUUACUUUGAGGAAAUUAGAGUGUUUCAAGCAGGCGAACGCCUUGAAUACAUUAGCAUGGAAUAAUAAAAUUGAACUUAGUUCUUUUUUGUUGGUUUCUGGAACUAAGGUAUUGAUUAAUAGGAACAGUCGGGGGCAUUCGUACUUAACAGUCAGAGGUGAAAUUCUUGGAUUUGUUAAAGACGAACUAAUGCGAAAGCAUUUGCCAAGGAUGUUUUCAUUG